GACGAACGCUGGCGGCGUGCUUAACACAUGCAAGUCGAGCGGAGCGGCGAACGGGUGAGUAACGCGGGAGUAACUGCCCCCCUCUCUGGGACAACAGUUGGAAACGGCCGCUAAUACCGGAUAGGGGGGGGUGACUCGGGUCCUAUCAGCUUGUUGGGGGGGUAGUGGCCUACCAAGGCGACGACGGGUAGCCGGCCUGAGAUGGCGACCGGCCACAUUGUGCUGAGAUACGGACCAAACUCGUACGGGAGGCAGUAGUGGGGAAUAUUGCACAAUGGGGGAAACGCUGAUGCAGCAACGCGCGUGCGGGAUGACGGCCUUCGGGUUGUAAACGGCUUUCAGCCAUGACGCGGUAGUGGCAGAAGAAGCACCGGCUAACUACGUGCCAGCAGCCGCGGUAAUUC
rnacentral:rRNA from 1 species